CCUUCAUGUAUAUCGAUUUGCUUGAUUAGAUUUUGAGGUGUUCUAUUGAAGAAGUUUAUUAUUUUACUCAUUUUCGGAAGCUGAAACGGGAAGCACAGCAGGCAGUCCUGUUGCUGUUAAGCCACUUGAAACAGAUACGUAUGGUUCGGGUUGUGACAUUGUUAUUGUGGAAAAGUGUUCUCCUUUGGACCUGCCGCUCCUUGUACCCGUACAUCUGGAUGUAAUGAAACGGCUUGUCCCUCAACUGCUGCACCAAGUACGCCAGGUGAAACAAGCUGUCUCUCUCAUUUUUGCCAUCAACUCUGCCAUUGAGUGGCUGCCUCCAUGUCUAUAUGCUCUAAGGUAACAACCCAUGAUGAAAUGAAUUUCUUAAUUAUAGCUAUUACUUAUAAUAAAAAUUUGAUAUUAAUUACAAAUAAAAUGAAAAUUAUGGUGACUGCGAUUAAAUCGAGAAAAUAUUUCAUGCCGAGUUCCCCGUAAGAUAGGACCCCAUAGUUAGAACCUUCAAACGGCAAGAUACGGCAGUGGAAAAUGUGCUGGUCAGACCCAAAAAUGCCGCACCGCACCGCACCGCAAGGUCUGUGGGGA